rnacentral:lncRNA from 13 species
GGGUUUUCAUAUUAAGAAUACACUAAUACAUUAAAGAAUUGGUUAGAAUAAUAAAAUUUUUAAAGUAUUUUUUUACUUUUAAUAAAACUAUAAGAGAUUAUAGUUUUUCACCCCAAAAUUCAACUUUUAUUUCAUCGAAUUUUCAGCUUUCUUUCCUGUUUGAGGAGGCUUGAAAUAGUUAUUCAAGUUUUUUGUCAGCUCAUGAAGCUCAUGUAACAUUUUUUCUAAGGUUCUAACUGUCAUUGUGGUGUUAGGCUAAAAUAUUUUAUUUUGAAGAUCUAAAAUAAAUGUUUUCCUCUGAUAUAAUAACUCUAUACUCUUGGCUUCUCAUAAUAUGUCUAAACAGCUCUAUGAAAUGUAAACUCUUCAGUGAUUUCACUCUUACUACAUCUAAUAAAUUUAAGUACCCUUUUCAUUAACUUGAAACUGCAGGUUAUCUAAAUGAAAUCCCCAUAAAGAAAAGCAAUCACACUGCACAAGAUCUUUUUUUCUUGGUAAUUAGUCUAAGAAAAACAUUUAAAUUUUAUUGAAAAAAUUUCUAUGUCAAUGUUUUUAAGUUUUUUAAAAAUCUUAGUUUUUGCUCAGAAAAACUGAUAUUUUUUAAAAAAUUAAUCUUAUUACAUGCAUAUACAUUUAUGGUGUUUAAAAUUCUUGUGCUGUUAUGUAACAGGGCUUUGAUUCUUGGAUACAAAAAGGACACCAACUCCUGCUAAAUCUUAAACAUUGACUGUAGUUGAAACCUCAUCGUCAGACCCAGGAGAAGAUGACUGUCAAAAUGAACUGUGUUCUGGAGACCCAGGGAUGAAAAUUAAAACUACUCAACCCCGCUAGUCCGAGGAACUAUUGUGGAAAAUGUGGUUAUCUUUGCUGCUGUCAUGUGAAGAAGGACAUGUUUGCUUCCCCUUCUGCCAUUAUGAUAAGAUUCCCAAGGCCUCCCCAACCCUGUGGAACAGUGAGUCAAUUAAACAUCUUUUCUUUAUAACUUAUCCAGUCUUGGAUAUGUCUUUAUUAGCACCUUGA